UACGGAGGUUGCAAGCGUUAUCCGGAUUUAUUGGGUUUAAAGGGUGCGUAGGCGGGCCUGUAAGUCAGUGGUGAAAUCCUGUAGCUUAACUAUAGAAAUGCCAUUGAUACUACAGAUCUUGAGUACAGUUGAGGUAGGCGGAAUGUGUAAUGUAGCGGUGAAAUGCUUAGAUAUUACACAGAACACCAAUUGCGUAGGCAGCUUACUAAACUGUUACUGACGCUGAGGCACGAAAGCGUGGGGAUCAAACAGG
rnacentral:rRNA from 1 species